rnacentral:rRNA from 1 species
CCCUUAGAUGUUCUGGGCCGCACACGCGCUACACUGAUGCAUUCAACGAGCCUAUCCUUGACCGACAGGUCCGGGUAAUCUUUGAAUCUGCAUCGUGACGGGGAUAGAUUAUUGCAAUUAUUAAUCUUCAACGAGGAAUGCCUAGUAGGCGCAAGUCAUCAGCUUGCGUCGAUUACGUCCCUGCCCUUUGUACACACCGCCCGUCGCUCCUACCGAUUGGGUGUGCUGGUGAAAUGUUCGGAUCGGCCGUUUGUCGCGGUUUCCGCGGCUCGUGGCUGAGAAGUUCAUUAAACCCUCCCACCUAGAGGAAGGAGAAGUCGUAACA